CAGUUACGGAGGCUUGGAAGCCCAAGAUCAAGGUGCUUGGUUGCUUUCUCCUGAGGCCUCUGUCCUCGGCUUGCAGAGGGCUGCCUUUUUGCCAUGUGUUUACAUGGCUUUUCUUCUGUGUGUGUACAUCCCUGGCAUUUCUUCCCUUAUAAGGACACCUGUCAUUAUGAUCUCAUUUAACCUGAAUUACCUUCAUAAAAGCCCUGCCUCUAAAUACAGUCAUCUUGGGGGUUAAGGCUUCAACAUAUGAAUUUUGAGGGGACAAAAAUCAGUUCAUAACAGGGGUAAAGAAGUAUCUCUAUAGGACAGUUUUGCAUGUGCCUCUGCUGUGUUUCUAGUGGUUUCACCCAUUCCAGAAGAAUUUUUAUAUUAAUUUCUGAGCUUGAGGGUUUUCUCACCACACCCAACUUGUAAAUUCAGAUCUCACAUCUCCAGUUUGAUUUAUGGUGGGUGGCUCUUUUUUCCAGGGACCUGGGUAGACAGCAAUCUUCUCGCUCUUCCUCAGGCAAGUGGGAAGAGUUUUUCAACUCAUAGGUUCAUGAAAGGAAUGGAAUUUGAGACUCGACGUUAUGCAAGAGCCUCCCUUCCCGUGGCCCUUCCUGUCUCAGUCCACGUGUUAAAACUCCAACUCCCAGCCAAUAAGACCUUCAUCUGGGGAUGGUCCCCUGUGGGUCCCCCGAUGGUCCUCAUGCUGCUGCAGCUUUUAAUUGCCUCUCUGGCGUUGCUCUCCUUUUUAUUUUGGAUCCGUUUCCUAAAACUUGUAAGCUGGGCUCUGCAUUUAAAUCUAUUUUUAAGGGGUUCUAUUUUAUCUUGAAUGUUUAUGUGUUUAGAGAAAGAUGGUGUGAGAGGGCAAUAAAUCUCUUCCAUGUCUAUAUAAUUCACUAUAUUGACCAAAAUUCAUGCCGGAAAGCUUGUCUGUCUUCAGGGGUCCCAGGCAGUGGCGGGCAGCAGUCUUUCAGUGUCAAAGCUCUUGUCCUCUAUGGCACAUCCCACUAUUUUCCUGCUUCCCCAGAGACAUCUUUAAAUCUUAGUUUAUAGGGCAGAAAUUAUUGCUGGAUGCACAGUUAGGUUCUUCAUGGCUAUAAUGUUACAUAUUAUCCCCUUGUCCUCCUUGGAGGAUUUAUCGCGUUCUUUUCUGCUCUUGCCUUCCCUGGAUAAAUGUUUCUUUUCUUUUUUUUUUUUUUUUUUACAUCAAUUAUCUUAAAAUGACAAACUCAACAAAAAUAACUGGCACUAGGGGAAAAUAUUUUGUUUUCUCUAUGGCCGUUAAAAUGUGGCUGGUCAUGUUCCUGGGAAAAAAAGCAUGAAAAAGACACCAAAACCUGGGUGUCCUGCCUGAGAUGUUUUUGUAGGUCAAAGAGUCCUGAAAUCCUUAGGUUAAGCAUAGCUCCAAUGGGCACGGCAACAGUCACUUCUAGCAAGACUCCUCAAGCUCACAUUUGCUUUCUUUUCCAGUAGAUUCUCAGGGACGCCUCCCGGGAGCUCUAUGCUGACAGCACCAAUGAGCUGAUCGUGAUGGAAAAGCAGCCCCCAAUGGGGUUCGCAUAAUAGAGACUUCACAAUGGAUGAAGUGAUAACAAUAAUUACAAAAUGGGGGAAAAUGCAAAGAGCUAAUGGAUUUUUGAGAUCUAUUUUUUUUUUUUUUUUUCUUGAGACGGAGAUUCGCUCUUGUUGCCCAGGCUGGAGUGCAAUGGCGCGAUCUUGGCUCACGACAACCUACCCCUCCCGGGUUCAAGCGAUUCUCCUGCCUCAGCCUCCCAAGUAGUUGGGACUUAUAGGCAUGCACCACCAUGCCCGGCUAAUUUUAUAUUUUUAGUAAAGAUGAGGUUUCGCCAUGUUGGCCAGGCUACUCUCAAACUCCUGACCUCAAGUGAUCCACCUGCCUCGGCUUCCCAAAGUGCUGGGAUUACAGGCAUGAGUCACUGCAUCUGGCCUAUUUUCAACAAUACAGGUGCUGGGGAGGCAGAUACAGAUGUAAAAGAUACUCAAAUAAAAUGCUGUGAAGAAAAAAAAAACAAGAUAAAGGGGAUAGUAAGUGACAGGGGAGAUAUUGCAGGGUAAGGAAGUGAUUUUAUUUGAAGAAACAUAAUAUAGAUAAUGGAUUUGCAUAAUAGCUGAUAGGGAAAGACUUUGUGUUUUUAAAUAACACUCAACUUUUUGUGUUUUUAUUCCAAUAAUCAUUCUAUAAAAGAACCAGUUUCCCCAAGAAAAACCAUAAGAAAUUAUUUUCAAGAGUAAUACAUUUAUGUGUAGAGAUAUGUAGACAUUAUAUCAAUUACAAAUUGAGCAAUUAAUUUCUGGGAUGUCACAGGUUAAGUAUUCUAGAAAAAGAUGCUAGGUUGAAAUUUGAUGGGCACCAUGUUUGUUAGAGAUCAACACCUACGGAAAGGAGAUGAAGGAAGCAGGGUUUCUCUAGGGGAGUGGUCGAAUU